rnacentral:rRNA from 1 species
UACGUAGGGUGCGAGCGUUGCCCGGAUUUAUUGGGCGUAAAGGGCGCGUAGGCGGUGAGAUGCGUCUGUCGUGAAAUCGCUCGGCUCAACUGGGCGGGGUCAGCGGAUACGGUCUCACUUGAGCAAGCUAGGGGGCAAUGGAAUUCCCGGUGUAGUGGUGGAAUGCGUAGAUAUCGGGAGGAACACCAGUGGCGAAGGCGGUUGCCUGGGGCUUUGCUGACGCUGAUGCGCGAAAGCGUGGGGAGCGAUCCGG